ACUCAAAUGAAUUGACGGGGACCCGCACAAGCAGCGGAGCGUGUGGUUUAAUUCGAUGCAACGCGAAGAACCUUACCAGGGCUUGACAUGCACUCGCAACAUCUUGAAAGAGAUGCCUCCUUCGGGACGGGUGUGCAGAUGCUGCAUGGCUGUCGUCAGCUCGUGUCGUGAGAUGUUGGGUUAAGUCCCGCAACGAGCGCAACCCUCGUCACUAGUUGCCAAUCUAGAGAGACUGCCGGAAACAAACCGGAGGAAGGUGGGGAUGACGUCAAGUCAGCAUGGCUCUUACGUCCUGGGCUACACACACGCUACAAUGGAGGGUACAGCGAGAAGCGACCGUGCGAACGGAAGCAGAUCUCUAAAAGCCUUCCCCAGUGCAGAUUGCACUCUGCAACCCGAGUGCAUGAAGGUGGAGUUGCUAGUAACCGCGUGUCAGCAUAGCGCGGUGAAUAUGUUCCCGGGUCUUGUACACACCGCCCGU
rnacentral:rRNA from 1 species